GUGAACGCUGGCGGUAGGCCUCACACCUGCAAGUCGAACGGCAGCACAGUAAGAGCUUGCUCUUACGGGUGGCGAGUGGCGGACGGGUGAGGAAUACAUCGGAAUCUACUUUUUCGUGGGGGAUAACGUAGGGAGACUUACGCUAAUACCGCAUACGACCUACGGGUGAAAGCAGGGGAUCUUCGGACCUUGCGCGAUUGAAUGAGCCGAUGUCGGAUUAGCUAGUUGGCGGGGUAAAGGCCCACCAAGGCGACGAUCCGUAGCUGGUCUGAGAGGAUGAUCAGCCACACUGGAACUGAGACACGGUCCAGACUCCUACGGGAGGCAGCAGUGGGGAAUAUUGGACAAUGGGCGCAAGCCUGAUCCAGCCAUACCGCGUGGGUGAAGAAGGCCUUCGGGUUGUAAAGCCCUUUUGUUGGGAAAGAAAAGCAGCAGGUUAAUACCCCGCUGUUCUGACGGUACCCAAAGAAUAAGCACCGGCUAACUUCGUG
rnacentral:rRNA from 1 species